UACGUAGGGUGCAAGCGUUAAUCGGAAUUACUGGGCGUAAAGCGUGCGUAGGUGGUGAGUUAAGUCUGUCGUGAAAGCCCCGGGCUCAACCUGGGAAUGGCGAUGGAUACUGGCUCGCUAGAGUGCGGUAGAGGAGAGUGGAAUUCCCGGUGUAGCAGUGAAUGCGUAGAGAUCGGGAGGAACAUCAGUUGCGAAGGCGGCUCUCUGGACCAGCACUGACACUGAGGCACGAAAGCGUGGGGAGCAAACAGG
rnacentral:rRNA from 1 species